rnacentral:rRNA from 1 species
UACGAAGGGGGCUAGCGUUGUUCGGAAUUACUGGGCGUAAAGCGCACGUAGGCGGACAUUUAAGUCAGGGGUGAAAUCCCGGGGCUCAACCCCGGAACGGCCUUUGAUACUGGGUGUCUUGAGUUCGGAAGAGGUGAGUGGAAUUGCGAGUGUAGAGGUGAAAUUCGUAGAUAUUCGCAGGAACACCAGUGGCGAAGGCGGCUCACUGGUCCGAUACUGAUGCUGAGGUGCGAAAGCGUGGGGAGCAAACAGG